UGUAGAGAGAGAUAAGGUUUUCCACAGGCCUCCUUUUCUGCAGGCUAAACACUCCUUGCUCCCUCAGGUCCUCCUCAUCAGACUGUGCUGCAGACCCUCCACGUCCUUCUUGUGAGCAAGGAGCCCAAAACUGAAUACAAAUGCAGCAAAUCAGAUUCAGAACCCAGUGCUUUAAGCAAAAUUAUGCUGUGCUUGGAGGCUGUGUGUUCACCAAAAGGAAUUAGAAGUAAGUGAUUGUUAUAUUGCUUCCCACAGUCAUUUAGUGUUGGUCUUCACUGUGGCCAUUUCCUGUUUCAGUAAAAUGUUAUUU
rnacentral:lncRNA from 1 species